rnacentral:rRNA from 1 species
UACGUAGGGACCAAGCGUUGUUCGGAUUUACUGGCGUAAGGGCGCGAUAGGCGGCGCAACAAUGUCAACUUGUGAAAAUCUCCGGGCUUAACUCGGAAAGUCAACUGAUACUGUGCGACUAGAGUGCAGAAGGGGCAACUGGAAUUCUCGGUGUAGCGGUGAAAUGCGUAGAUAUCGAGAGGAACACCUGCGGGCGAAGGCGGGUUGCUGGGCUGACACUGACGCUGAUGACGCGAAAAGCCAGGG